rnacentral:rRNA from 1 species
AACCAGUACCGUGAGGGAAAGGUGAAAAGCACCCCGGAAGGGGAGUGAAAGAGAUCCUGAAACCGUGUGCCUACAAAUAGUCAGAGCCCGUUAAUGGGUGAUGGCGUGCCUUUUGUAGAAUGAACCGGCGAGUUACGAUCCCGUGCAAGGUUAAGCUGAAGAGGCGGAGCCGCAGCGAAAGCGAGUCUGAAUAGGGCGUUUAGUACGUGGUCGUAGACCCGAAACCAGGUGAUCUACCCAUGUCCAGGGUGAAGUUCAGGUAACACUGAAUGGAGGCCCGAACCCACGCACGUUGAAAAGUGCGGGGAUGAGGUGUGGGUAGCGGAGAAAUUCCAAUCGAACCUGGAGAUAGCUGGUUCUCCCCGAAAUAGCUUUAGGGCUAGCCUUAAGUGUAAGAGUCUUGGAGGUAGAGCACUGAUUGAACUAGGGGUCCUCAUCGGAUUACCGAAUUCAGUCAAACUCCGAAUGCCAAUGACUUAUCCUUAGGAGUCAGACUGCGAGUGAUAAGAUCCGUAGUCAAGAGGGAAACAGCCCAGAUCGCCAGCUAAGGUCCCAAAGUGUGUAUUAAGUGGAAAAGGAUGUGGAGUUGCUUAGACAACUAGGAUGUUGGCUCAGAAGCAGCCACCAUUUAAAGAGUGCGUAAUAGCUCACUAGUCGAGUGACUCUGCGCCGAAAAUGUACCGGGGCUAAAUACACCACCGAAGCUGCGAAUUGAUACCAAUGGUAUCAGUGGUAGGGGAGCGUUCUAAGUGCAGUGAAGUCAGACCGGAAGGACUGGUGGAGCGCUUAGAAGUGAGAAUGCCGGUAUGAGUAGCGAAAGACGGGUGAGAAUCCCGUCCACCGAAUGCCUAAGGUUUCCUGAGGAAGGCUCGUCCGCUCAGGGUUAGUCAGGACCUAAGCCGAGGCCGACAGGCGUAGGCGAUGGACAACAGGUUGAUAUUCCUGUACCACCUCUUUAUCGUUUGAGCAAUGGAGGGACGCAGAAGGAUAGAAGAAGCGUGCGAUUGGUUGUGCACGUCCAAGCAGUUAGGCUGAUAAGUAGGCAAAUCCGCUUAUCGUGAAGGCUGAGCUGUGAUGGGGAAGCUCCUUAUGGAGCGAAGUCUUUGAUUCCCCGCUGCCAAGAAAAGCUUCUAGCGAGAUAAAAGGUGCCUGUACCGCAAACCGACACAGGUAGGCGAGGAGAGAAUCCUAAGGUGUGCGAGAGAACUCUGGUUAAGGAACUCGGCAAAAUGACCCCGUAACUUCGGGAGAAGGGGUGCUUUCUUAACGGAAAGCCGCAGUGAAUAGGCCCAAGCGACUGUUUAGCAAAAACACAGGUCUCUGCGAAGCCGUAAGGCGAAGUAUAGGGGCUGACACCUGCCCGGUGCUGGAAGGUUAAGGAGAGGGGUUAGCGUAAGCGAAGCUCUGAACUGAAGCCCCAGUAAACGGCGGCCGUAACUAUAACGGUCCUAAGGUAGCGAAAUUCCUUGUCGGGUAAGUUCCGACCCGCACGAAAGGUGUAACGAUUUGGGCACUGUCUCAACCAGAGACUCGGUGAAAUUAUAGUACCUGUGAAGAUGCAGGUUACCCGCGACAGGACGGAAAGACCCCGUGGAGCUUUACUGUAGCCUGAUAUUGAAUUUUGGUACAGUUUGUACAGGAUAGGCGGGAGCCAUUGAAACCGGAGCGCUAGCUUCGGUGGAGGCGCUGGUGGGAUACCGCCCUGACUGUAUUGAAAUUCUAACCUACGGGUCUUAUCGACCCGGGAGACAGUGUCAGGUGGGCAGUUUGACUGGGGCGGUCGCCUCCUAAAGUGUAACGGAGGCGCCCAAAGGUUCCCUCAGAAUGGUUGGAAAUCAUUCGUAGAGUGCAAAGGCAUAAGGGAGCUUGACUGCGAGACCUACAAGUCGAGCAGGGACGAAAGUCGGGCUUAGUGAUCCGGUGGUUCCGCAUGGAAGGGCCAUCGCUCAACGGAUAAAAGCUACCCCGGGGAUAACAGGCUUAUCUCCCCCAAGAGUCCACAUCGACGGGGAGGUUUGGCACCUCGAUGUCGGCUCAUCGCAUCCUGGGGCUGUAGUCGGUCCCAAGGGUUGGGCUGUUCGCCCAUUAAAGCGGUACGCGAGCUGGGUUCAGAACGUCGUGAGACAGUUCGGUCCCUAUCCGUCGUGGGCGCAGGAAAUUUGAGAGGAGCUGUCCUUAGUACGAGAGGACCGGGAUGGACGCACCGCUGGUGUACCAGUUGUUCUGCCAAGGGCAUAGCUGGGUAGCUAUGUGCGGAAGGGAUAAGUGCUGAAAGCAUCUAAGCAUGAAGCCCCCCUCAAGAUGAGAUUUCCCAUAGCGUAAGCUAGUAAGAUCCCUGAAAGAUGAUCAGGUUGAUAGGUUCGAGGUGGAAGCAUGGUGACAUGUGGAGCUGACGAAUACUAAUAGAUCGAGGACUUAACCAU